CCCCUCCUCCUCCUCCUCCUCCUCCUUCACCUCCUCCUUCACUUCCUUCUCCCCCUCCUCCACUCCUCCUUCUCCUCGUCCUUCACCUCCUCCUCCUCCUUCUCCUUCUCCUCCUCCACUCCUCCUUCUCCUCCUCCUCCUCCCCUCCUCCUGGUCCUUCACCUCCUCCUUCUCCUCCUCCACUUCUCCUCCUCCUUCACCCCCUCCUCCUUCUCCCCUCCUCCUCCUCCUCCUCCACUUUUAAAAGAAAACCGAGGAGCAGGCCGAAUGAGAGAGAUGGAGGUGGAGUUGCACUAUAUAGAAGAAAUAACCAAACCACUCUGCAAACGCAACAGAAGAAAGGCGAAAACUUCCUUCAAUGCAUUUGGGUUGAUAUAAAAGGGGGAAAAGAAGAUACAGAAACUGGAAGCCAUUUGUGGUCUUUGCAAGGCAAACUUUCCUCUUGGGGGAAGAAGAAAAAGAGCGGAAUCCCUUGCAGGGAUCAGUCCUGCAGCACCAGAAAUGUUCCCGUGAAGGAAAAGGCAUCUGGAGACCCACCAGAGUCCUUGGAGCCAUUUGGAGUUGCUCUGCAGGACAGAGAAAGGAUGGAGACACAACCUUUUGCAAAGGAGGGAGCCGGAAAAGGCCCUUCAGCUGCUCAGCCUGGGAAGGGGGCGAAGCUGUGGACAAGAACUGGGCAGAAGAUCCUGGAGGAGGAAACCAUCCUCCCUUCACAAGUUCCGCCCUGGACCUCCAUCCAAUACCGGGAGGCUGAGGGUCCCCGAGGACUUUGCAGCCGAGUCCAUGGCUUUUGCAGGCGAUGGCUGAGACCAGAGAAGAACACCAAAGCCCAGAUGCUGGACCUGGUGGUUCUGGAGCAUCUCCUGUUCCUUCUGCCCCCAGAGAUGGAGGGCUGGGUGCGGGGAGUGUGGAGCAGAGACCAGCUUCCAGGCGGUGGCCCUGGCGGAAGGCCUCCUCCUAAGCCAGGUGGAGGAGCAGAAGGAGCAGGUCCAGUUGCAGUGCUGCACUGUGGAGAUCAGAGAUCCUGAGGGAAAGAAGAACCCAUCAAAUCCCCCUCAGGAGCUAUUUUUCAGGAGGAUCCCUUGGGAAGAUCCAAGUCAGGACAUCUCAGGAGAGAAACAAAGAAUGAAGCUUUCUGGUUUUUAUGACAGAGAUGAACCAGUAGUUGAACCUCCAAAUCAAGGGAGUCUUGUGUCCUUCGAGGAGGUGGCUGUGUCGUUCUCUGAGGAGGAAUGGUCUCAGCUGGAUCCUGAUCAGAAAGUGCUGCAUUCGGAAGUCAUGCUUGAAAACCAUAGGAACGUGGCCUCUCUGGGUAAGAGUUCUCUAGUCCCCAAUCAGAGAGUUCAAGAAUGUGGAU